rnacentral:lncRNA from 1 species
GCUUGGUGCUGGCAUCCAGGUCUGCAGGCCUAGAGCGUGAGGGGGAACUGCCAGUCUCUGGAAAUACUCUUUUCAAGGACAGUCUAUUUCACGCCGACACGUGUGGUCAUGGCGUUCCUCCGAGCCCAGGACCUUUAGAUCACCUGUCUCUCAGUUGCCUCUGACUCUCAGAACCUAUUUGCGAAUCUCCAGGUCCUUCCAAAUUUAAUUCCUCUGUCUAACUUUGCUGUCGGAGAGUACCGGAUCCCCAGCAGCACAUUCUGAAAUAGCAACUUUUUCUGAAGUCCUAUAUACGGGAGAUUCUAGCUACAGAAUUAAACUUGUCCUCAGGGCUUUCCACACCCUUCCUUCUGUGAAAAGCUUUUCUUCUGGCGGAGCCACAAGCAAGAAACAGUCUCAGAGCCUGCCGACGCCAGCCCCUUCAUCUGACUGAUCUGCAUCGCCGCUCUUCCCCAGGGCCCCACGGCCCAGCCUGGCAGAAGCCCUGUCUCUCACUGAGGCCGUGCCUGCAGACUCCUUCUGUCCCCACGGGCUGCAAACCCUGCUCUCGGUGGAGCUCAGAACAAUCGUUUUAAAAUGCAAAUCAAAUCCAGCCCCGCCCUGGUUUACGACCCCUCCGCUGGCUCCCCACUGUGACGGAACAAGGUAGAAUCCCUGUGCGAGCCGCUGGCCUUCACACACCUCACCUCGGAGACCCGCCAGGCUGCCCGACUCAGGCCCCGCCCGGCUUCCCUCACCUGCGGGCUCGCCCCCCACCCCGCCCAGCCGUGUUCCCUCACCAGCUCCUUCUCUUAAUUCCCCUCAACGUCUCCCCAAGGUGCCUUCACUGACCGACUUGCCGAAGUGCUCCCUCCUUAUUCUCCUUGACGGCUUCCUAUUCCUGUCCUUUUAAUAAUUAUUAGACCCUGUGCUUGCUUGUUUAUUGUCUCCCUCUGCCAGCUGACUGAAAACUCCACGUGGGCAUGGACCACGAGAGCUGGCAUCGCGAAUGCCCAGUUCAGGGACCUGCCAAAGCCCCAGAGGUCUUUGCUUGACCAAACUUGAGUCAGACUCCGGAAGCUUCUCCUGGGCCCAUCUGUGCAAUUCCCUGUAAAGCCCAGUUUUCGCAAGAACCCUGCUACGUCGGUUUCACCUGAACCCCCCUCGAUAUCUGACCAACCUCAGUAUCUGAGCAGGGUCCGUACCCUCCGCCAUCCUCCCUGUGACACCCUCCCGCCUGUCUCCAGUAAGAACCCUGGGAGGUCGGUUUAGCCCAACCCCCUCCCUCUGAGGUUUCCUCCUAAUUAUUUUUCCCCCCACUGACCCCCACCUGCUUCUCGGCUAUAAACCCUCACUUCCCACGCUGUAUUCAAAGUUGAGCCCAGUCUCUCGUCCCCACUGAAAAUUCUGUCCCAGUGGUCCCCACCCAUCAUGGUGGUCCUGAAUAAAGUCUGCC